CCUAUCGGUACCGGCCGCUAAAAGCCUACAAACAAUACACCAGAUGGAAACCUCCCCAUCUUCUUCAGCUGCUGCUGUACAGUCUCACUUGCAAACCCUAACUUCCCGAGGUUGGUGCUUCAAACACGUCGAUCAAGUCCAAGCUCUAGUAGCAGCUGAAUUAUCUUCGCGUCUCACCGUGGAUUCUGUCGAAUCGGCACUCCUCAACAUGGACUUGCGAUCCAUUGGGGGGAAAUCUUUGGCUGAACUUUCCCAUCUCCGCCAUGCCUCGCAUCUACAAGGCCCCAAAGUCCUUCAGAUAUCUUCUGUUAGAGAUAUAGGUAAGAGCAAUGUGGCUGAGAGUUUAGGAAAUUCGAGUAAUAGACGCCUGCUGAGAUUCAACCUUACUGAUGGCCAAACUGAAAUAGUUGCCGUAGAGUAUUCUCAUCUGUCAUCAAUUCCAGAUGACGUAGUGCCUGGCACUAAGGUUCUGUUGGAGAAUAAUGCCAAGGUUCGCAAUGGAAUUGUCUGCUUAGAUGCCAAAGUGACGAGAGUUUUAGGAGGUCGGGUUCAGUCACUGUAUGAAGAAUGGGAGAUGAACCAAAAAUAUUCAGCGUUUUCACGUUCAGCCUUGCGACCAUUGAAUGAAACUGCAGCUAGUUGCCCUCCACGAUUUGAGAAGUUCCAAGUUGGUGCAUCUUUGCAACAGCAGAGCAGAACUUCUCAAUAUUCCAGUAGUAGCCUGGGGACCGCUUCUGAAAUUGGUGAAAGUUCGACAUCAAGGCAGAUGAGUGAAUCUCAGAGCCGCAGCGUCAUAAUGGAUAGCCGGCAAACUGAAGUACAGCCGCCAGCUCGUGUUGAAAAUGCUGAAGAUAACUCCACCAACUUUCACGCAAGGCAAAAAGAAGUGGCUGAAUCUAUCCCCGUUCAAAACCAAGCAGCUGCUCAAAAACUCCUCCAGAGAAUGAGUCAGCCCAACCAUGAUAAUAAGCAUUUCCGGGGGAGGAGACAUGGGAGGAAAGAAAAGGAGGAAGAUACUGCAACCCUCACUUUAGAUGAGUGGGAAAGGAGAAAAACCGGGAUAAGCAGUUCAACAGCACACAGCCUAGAUGAUGUCAGCUUAGAUGAGGACCUUGCACGACAGCUUCAAGAGAAAUUUGAUUUGGAAGAUGUUCAUGUUCAGAAGAAUCCUAAUGCAACGGAGGCAGAGAAUAUAAGAAUGAGCAUGUUUAAUUUUGAAAGAGAUGAUCCUAGAGCCCAUGGUAGGAUGGGAUUUAGAGGCAGAGGUAGAGGUAGUGGAAGGGGAAGAGGAAGGAGUGGAGGCAGGGGAAGGUGGUGAUUUUUCACAUGUUUGGCUUCUCCUUAUUGUUCUGAACAUUGCUUUGGCUUUUGGUGAUUGCUAUGCCCAAGAUGUGCGCAUGCAACUCUGAAGAGACUUCUAACCUCAGGGUGCAUACGAAUUCAUCUGUCGGAAGUGGCUUCUAACCUCAGCGUGCAUAAGAAUUCAUCUGGUGUUGUUAACUUCCAACUUUUACCUGAAUGGUCUUACCAAAUGGAUGAGAAAUCUCCAUGUCCUAGGUACUCCUUGCUGCCCAUUUAACAGGUACAGAUCUUUGUUGAUCUAAUUCUGCUUGAUGAUCAAGAUUUAACUGAUGCAUUGAUCAAGCGACUUGUGUAAAUAGUACUAUUAAGUGUAAUCCGGAACAUAUUCCUCUGUCCAGAACAAAUCAAAAGAAAUAGGUGCUAACAUGUCUUUCCUUUGUUUUCAUUUCAAACAUUAUCUUUGUUCAGUUAAAUCUUGCCGAUGCUCUUAACCAUCUCAUGGUGCAAUCUGAGAUUAGGAAGCCCGGAAGUGCACUGCAAUGGUUAGAUUCAACACAGGGACAUGGACUAAGUAGAUAACCUUGUACCUCAAUGUUACAUUUGGUGUUACUUGUUGAAGAGUGGAAGAAGAAAUGCAAAACUGACUGCCAACUGUCAAAAUUUUGAUGGAUAUUUUUGUCGUGUAAGCUAGGGCAGUCUACAACUAAUCUCCAGGCUUCCAGUAGAUUUUUGAAAUUUCUAUACCUUUUUGGGUAAAUCAAGUUCCCUGUUUGAAGAA